rnacentral:rRNA from 1 species
GGCUGAAAUUCGCCUUCAUGAAGCCGGAAUUGCUAGUAAUGGCAGGUCAGCAUACUGCCGUGAAUACGUUCCCGGGCCUUGUACACACCGCCCGUCACACCAUGAGAGUUGGGAAUACCCGAAGCCUGUGAGCUAACUUUUAGAGGCAGCAGUCGAAGGUAGAAUCAAUGAUUGGGGUGAAGUCGUAACAAGGUAUC